GCUAGGAUAGCUCAGUCAAUAGAGCAUAAGACUCUUGCUCUUGUGGUCAUAGGUUUGAGUCCCACGUUGGGCA